rnacentral:rRNA from 1 species
AGAGCGAACGCUGGCGGCAGGCUUAACACAUGCAAGUCGAGCGCCCCGCAAGGGGAGCGGCAGACGGGAGAGUAACACGUGGGAACGUACCUUUCGGUUCGGAACAACCCAGGGAAACUUGGGCUAAUACCGGAUACGCCCGCAAGGGGAAAGAUUUAUCGCCGGAAGAUCGGCCCGCGUCUGAUUAGCUAGUUGGUGAGGUAACGGCUCACCAAGGCGACGAUCAGUAGCUGGUCUGAGAGGAUGAUCAGCCUCACUGGGACUGAGACACGGCCCAGACUCCUACGGGAGGCAGCAGUGGGGAAUAUUGGACAAUGGGCGCAAGCCUGAUCCAGCCAUGCCGCGUGGGUGAUGAAGGCCCUAGGGUUGUAAAGCCCUUUCGGCGGGGAAGAUAAUGACGGUACCGCAGAAGAAGCCCGGCUAACUUCGCGCCAGCAGCCGC